rnacentral:rRNA from 1 species
GACGAACGCUGGCGGCGUGCUUAACACAUGCAAGUCGAACGGAAAGACCCUGCUUUUGUGGGGUGCUCGAGUGGCGAACGGGUGAGUAACACGUGAGUAACCUGCCCUUGACUUUGGCAUAACUUCAGGAAACUGGGGCUAAUACCGGAUAGGAGCCCCUGCUGCAUGGUGGGGGUUGGAAAGUUUCGGCGGUUGGGGAUGGACUCGCGGCUUAUCAGCUUGUUGGUGGGGUAGUGGCUUACCAAGGCUUUGACGGGUAGCCGGCCUGAGAGGGUGACCGGCCACAUUGGGACUGAGAUACGGCCCAGACUCCUACGGGAGGCAGCAGUGGGGAAUAUUGCACAAUGGGCGGAAGCCUGAUGCAGCAACGCCGCGUGCGGGAUGACGGCCUUCGGGUUGUAAACCGCUUUCGCCUGUGACGAAGCGUGAGUGACGGUAAUGGGUAAAGAAGCACCGGCUAACUACGUG